UACGGAGGGGGCUAGCGUUGUUCGGAAUUACUGGGCGUAAAGCGCAUGCAGGCGGAUCGCUAAGUCAGGGGUGAAAGCCCGAGGCUCAACCUCGGAACUGCCUUUGAUACUGGCGAUCUUGAGUCCGGGAGAGGUGAGUGGAACUCCGAGUGUAGAGGUGAAAUUCGUAGAUAUUCGGAAGAACACCAGUGGCGAAGGCGGCUCACUGGCCCGGUACUGACGCUGAGAUGCGAAAGCGUGGGGAGCAAACAGG
rnacentral:rRNA from 1 species